rnacentral:rRNA from 1 species
GUCCACGCCCUAAACGAUGUCGACUGGUUGUUGGGUGUUUGACACUCUCAGUAACGAAGCUAACGCGUGAAGUCGACCGCCUGGGGAGUACGGCCGCAAGGUUAAAACUCAAAUGAAUUGACGGGGACCCGCACAAGCGGUGGAUUAUGUGGAUUAAUUCGAUGCAACGCGAAAACCUUACCUACCCUUGACAUGUCCUGAAGCCUGGAGAGAUCCGGGUGUGCCCGAAAGGGAACGGGAACACAGGUGCUGCAUGGCUGUCGU